rnacentral:tRNA from 1 species
UGGAUCACCUCCUAACAGGGAGACAACAAAAUGUUUAAUAUUAUAAUUUUGUCACCUUAGGUCGAUCGGUAUCUCACGUUUUUAAUUUAUUAAGAAUUUCAUUUCCUAAGUUUUUCUAGGUCACACCCAUUAUUUUUCCUGGGCCAUUAGCUCAGGUGGUUAGAGCGCACCCCUGAUAAGGGUGAGGUCCCUGGUUCAAGUCCAGGAUGGCCCAUAUCUCUAUGUUGGGGGUAUAGCUCAGUUGGUAGAGCGCCUGCUUUGCAAGCAGGAUGUCAGCGGUUCGAGUCCGCUUACCUCCACUGAUCACCACCUCUUCCAUAAUCGGUAGAAAGGAAAUUUUUUGAGUUGUGAUCAAAUUCUGAAAGAAUCUAGCUUCCUAAUGGAAUCAUUAAGAUGCUGGACUCAUUGAAUUAAUUUCAUUGUUUUCAGAGAACCUUGACAACUGCAUAGAUUAUUUUUAAAGACAAUAAGCAUCUUUAAUGAUGCAGAUUUAUUAUUUGUGCAAAUGCAUUAAUAACAAUUCUAUUAAGCUGAUGCUUCAAUAUUUGAAGUUAUUGGUCAAGCUACAAAGGGCUCACGGAGGAUACCUAGGCACACAGAGGCGAUGAAGG